AGUCCUGCCCAGUGAACUAAGGUUUCAACGGCCGCGGUAUACCUGACCGUGCAAAGGUAGCAUAAUCACUCGCCUUUUAAUUGUAGGCUCGUAUGAAUGGAUAAACGAGGGACCAGCUGUCUCAUAAAAAUAAACUAAAAAUUAAUCUUCAGGUGAAGAAGCCUGAAUGCUCUUAAAAGACAAGAAGACCCUAUAGAGUUUCACUUUAAAUAUAUCCAUUUUUAAAUACUUAUAUUCAAAUAUAUAUAUAUAAGUUUAGUUGGGGCGACUAAGGAAUACAUAAACCUUCCUUAAUAUAAAGAAUUUAUUCACUAAAUAGAUCCUAAAAAGACCAUAAGAAAAAUAUUACCUUAGGGAUAACAGGCUAAUCUCCCCAGAGAGUCCAAAUUGACGGGGAGGGUUGGCACCUCGAUGUUGGCUUAAGACAACUAUUAAAUGCAGC
rnacentral:rRNA from 1 species